AAAGAAAAUAAGUAAAGAGCAAAGAAAAGAAACAGAAUAGGCAAACAAAAAGCAGGGGAAGGAAAGAAAGAAAGAAGAAAGAAAAGAAAAAGGGAGAAUUAGGGUUUGAAGGUUUGAAAGUUUAAUAGGUAAGUUAAUUUAGCCCUUUUUAUUUAAUUUUAAUGUUUUAAAAGCUUUAGAACAAAGUUUUGAUGAAAUUAAAUUAAUAUUUUGAAAGUUAUUAGAAUUCUAAAUAUUGUUCAUGUUGAAUAAAAAAAAUGAAAUAGGGGUUUAAUUGAAUGAAAUUCAAGUUAAAAUAGAUAUAAGGAUCGAAUUGCAAAGUAAGCUAUAAGUUUUGUGUUUUAGGGACUAAAUUGAGGAAAAUUUCGGAAUUAAGAAAAUAUGUUGAAAAUUUAAUAGUUAAAUUUGAGUUUAAAUGAAAUUUGAAUAGACAUAAGGUGUGAAUUGGUGUUAUAAAUUUGGUUAUUAACAUUUUACAUCAAAACAGUUUUGGGAAGUAGCAAUGGUCUGACUUUGAAAAUUCACUAAAAAUUGUAUAAAUUGAACUAGAGGAUGAAAAAAAUAUGUAAUUAAAGCUUAUUGAGUCUAGUUUCUUAUAGUAUAAAUAUUGUAAGCAAUGAAUUGAUGAAUCAAGAGAUAUUUGAAAUUUUGUAAGACUGGUUUGGGGUGAUUUCGAGAUGCCCUGUUUUAACUUUGGAAAAUCAUUAUAAAUUGUACAAAAAUUAUUAUGGAGUGUAAUUUAUAUGUGUGAACUCCUUAAUGAAUCUAGUUUCAAAAUAAGUAAACAAGAACCUUAUUCGAGUUCUGUACAAUGAGAUAAUUUAUUUUUAGUAGAGAGAGGUCAGAACUGUCAAAUGAAAUAACAGGGGAGUAUUUAAUGAAUAAACUGUACUAAUUGGCUAGACCAAAAAUUCUGAAAAUCUUAUGGUGAGAAGAUAUAUGAGUCUAGUUUUAAGAAAAUUUAUGGAUAUUAAUUUGGAGUUUCGUAACUCAAGAUAUAAAUAAUUUAGUAACAAUGACUCAAGUAGACAGCUUAAUGGUGAAAUUGUAUAUAUACAUUAAAAAUGGUUAAAUUUGCAUGUUUAGGCUCAUGGAUUAAAUUGAAUUGUGUUAUAUUGAUGAUUAUAAAUUAUUAUUAUUUUCGUAGUUAACAAAUAACCCAAGACAUCGGUGCACAAAGGAAAGGAGAAAGCUAUCGAGGAUUAAAACGAGAAAUUCACGGUUUGUAUUACUAUAAUUCAAAUUACUUUUUAUUAAAUGCUAUAUAUCAAUUCUAUAUUUAAUAAGUGAAUUAUAAGGUAAGUAUUGAUAUUGGAGUUGAAUGAGAAUUGAAUUGAAUGGUGAAUGUGUAUGUAUAAUUGAAUUGUAAAUUGAUUUGAAUGUGAAAAUUUUAAUUGAAAAGUAAUCUUGGAAUGGAAAUGAAAGUGAAUUGAGAAUUGAAAUACCCUAUUAACUAGUCGGGCUAAGUCGGAUAUAAUUGGCAUGCCAUAGGAUAUGGAAGUGUACGGGAUUUGCCGGCUUUAUCGAUCAGACACUUUAUGUGUCGUAUUUCAGGCACCUCGUGUGUCGUAUCAGGCACCUCGUGUGUCGUUUUAGGCACUUUAUGUGUCGUAUACUGAUCAGGUACUAUGUACCGUUUUAGGCACAAUGUGCCGUACUGGUGUGUUUGGGUUGGAAUUCGUGUAUCCGUUAAAGUCCGAAAUGUUAAUAGGGUGAAUAAUUGAAAUGAGAAGUUCAAAUGAAUUUGAUCGACUGUACUAGUGAAUAUGAAAUAAAUUAAAAUUGUGGACUGAAAAUUUAGAUUGGAAAUGAAAUGCAUGGAUUUAAAAUGAUUGUGGUGAUUAAAACCUGGUAAAUGUGAUUUGUAACUAAAAUUGAAUAAUAGCUAAAGAUUGUUUAUUUAUUGUUAUUUAAUGAUAACUUAAAAAAAAAGAAAAAGAAUUGUUAUUUGAUGCUGAGUUCUUAUUUUAUUUUUUUAAUUGCUAUUGCAAUUUGAAUUAUGGUAAUACCACUGAGUAUGAAAUACUCAGCGUACGGUUGUUUUCGUGCGCAGGUUAAUAGAAGUCUAGUGUCCUGGUCCAGCAUCCGAGUGAUCCUGACUCCAGCAAAUUUUGGGUGAUGUUUUCUUUCUUAAUUGAAAGUGGCAUGUACUAGGUGUUGUAUAAGUUAUAUAGAUGUACUUGUAAAGUUAGUUAUAAGAAUGGUAUACCAUAUUUUGUUAUUAGUUUGAUAAAAUGGUAAAUAUUAUAUUAUAUAAUUUGGUAUAAGUUGGAAUGAAAAAAAAUGAAUGAAAUUAUUAGUUAAUUUGGAUUAAUAUUAUGAAUGUUUAGUUAUUAAAUGACUAUGUUAAUGAAUUGGUUAUGAUUUAGAUAUAUUUAGGUUUAAAUUGUUUUUGAUUGUGCCAUUGGUUUUGGAUUAGUUGGUUUUUGGUUUGAAUUUGCAGGG
rnacentral:lncRNA from 1 species